rnacentral:lncRNA from 1 species
AUGUGCGGGCUUCGGGGGGAGGUGGCGAAAAGGGGAAGAGACCCGGCGUCGUCGCCGGGCCCCACCCUCUCCGUGUGGGCGGUUGGGGCCCCAAGGCGGCGGUGCCUCUCCUCCCCUUUGCCCCCUUCCUCCGCUCCGCCUCAGCCCGCGGUCGGGUGUCUUUUAGGUUCUCCGGGUCCGUGCUCGCCGACGCGGCCGAACCGCCUCGUCCCCACCGGUGGGGCGGGGUCGGCGGUGCCGAGGCCCCUGCCCCGGCGGCUCGAGAGGGGUCUUCCCUCCGAGAUGGGGAAUUGGGGUUGGCGUGACCGGCCGGGUGUGCCUUGGUCGCUCGUCCCGACCGCCCCGAGAGGCCUUUCCGCCCCCAUCCUGUCCCGGGUACCUAGCGCGUUCUGGCGCGGAGGUUUAAAGAUUCGGGGGUUGCCCUCCGCUCUCCAGCGGGGUCUUGGGACGGCCGCCCCCUGGGUUUGCCGGACGGGCCAGUGGGAAGAGGAGAUGCCUGGCUCCGACUUCUCCCGUUCUCCGGUGUGGUGCUGGGUUCGGGUCCUGGUCGUGGGGGACCGCCCGCCCGCCCUCGGUGAGGUGUGCUCCGCGUGGAGGCCGCGUCUCCCCGGUCUUUCGUGCUCCCCUGGCCUUCUGGGGGAGGAAAGCGAUCCCGCCCGCCGCGUCGCUCCGUGUCUGGUGGCGUGGGGGGGGAAAGCCUCGUACGGCCUGCGGGCCGCGACGAGCUCGGCCGUGGGGUCGAGGGCAGUAAGUAGUCCGGUCAUCGGGGGAGGGGGGAGGAUAGAGCGGAGUGCUCUUUUCCCCCUCUGUGUGCGUGCGUGGGGUGACCGCGGUUCGCGCUGUCGUCGCCCGUGCGUUUCCGGUGCGGCGCCGUCCGUCCUUGGUCGCGGCCGCCUCGCUCCUCGCUGCACGUGGAGUGCGGGCGAGGACUCUCUGUUUCGAAACCUCCCCCUGAUCCCCGGUGGGCCGUCGCGCUGCUUGCUCUCUCUGCCCUCGCUGUCUCGCCGCGUCCGCUUCCGACGGCCUUCCCUGCGCCGAGGGCCGGCGCCGCGACGAGGCUGGGUCGUCGCUCCUCCCCCUCCGGUCGGGUUGCCGGUGGCCGGGUUGCCCGCGUGCCCCCCUCCGCGGGGUCGCCGCCGUUGGGUUUGUCGGUGGGUGCCGUCCCCCGCGUCGGCCUGUCCCGCUUGCCGCCCCGGGGAAACGGUCGUUCCUCCGAGCCCCCCCACUGCCAAAUCGUGUCGUGUCUCGUUUUUUACCU